GUUAACAUGAGCUUGAAAGAGGUUGAGAGGGAUGAUUCUGAAUAUUGUCCACAACAUUGGUCUUUACUUCAGUGAUUUACUUACUAUUCAUAGGCAUAUUCCAGUUAGAUAUUUGUGAUUUCUUUUAACUGUAUAAUCGGUUGUUUAUGUGAAGUAGAAUUUGAGAUUUUAGUGUUGAAUACACUCAAGAUCAACAAAUCUUGGCUAUUAAUGGGAGGUUAACAUAUAAUAUAUUAUACCCCUUAAAAAAAAUAAAAAAAACUUCAAAACAUAGUGCAGGCAUAUGCCUACAAAGGGGACUACAUAGAUCCAUCCCCGUGUAUAAGUGUGACAAAGAUAUUAUGGUUAACUAAACAUCUUACUAAAACCUCUAAGUCUAACACAUGUUUGGUAUUGUAGUUUCGUGAGUAGGACAUAGCUGAUGUCAAAUGAUUUGUUAAUUUGCUUGUUAAUAUAUAAUUACUAAUCAAAGUAAUGCCCUUGUGUUCAUUUUAGUUUUGCAGUUGCAUUUAGUGGUAGUUCAUCUUGACCUUAAUUGGUUGCCCUUAUUGCGCAGGUAUAAUAUGUUGAAUGUUACAAUAUUUUUUUCAUUAUACAAUGUCUAGAAUCCUUGAGCUCAAGAGCUUGCAUGUGGUGUUUUAGUUUAAAUAAAAUCCUUAAACAACAUGACUGCCUUGCAUUUUCUUGUAUACUCAUUUGUCCAAUGAUUGUAGGAUGAGGUUAUCCAAUUUGGUGGUCAGAUUGAGCCGCCUGGAAUGCACAUGAUUUAUCUUCCGUGUUAUGAUGACAUCAGACUUGUUGAAGAGAUACUAGUGGGGUGGUGACUAAAGCAAGUUAUAUAUGAUCAAAUAAAAUGGGCAGCUGAGUAUGGCUUGAAAAUAUGUUUGUAAUUGGGAAGCAUCCCUCACCUCACAAGCCAAUUUUGUAAAGUUGAUGUUCUUCCUCUCAGGGAGCAGACAAAGGAGAAACUUGGGAGCCCCAGGAAGUUUAGACUGAACGGGUUCAAGCAUUUUCUCAACUCUGACCACAGGCGGAGCAAGCCUAACCUGACCAUUUUCUUCAAAGACAUCAAAAGGUUGUUCAACAAGUUACCAAGAGCAAACGAAACAGAAUGGAGUUAGCCCCUAUCUAUAUUUCAGUAAAUAUGCUGUAAUAGAACUUACAAUUCCUUUCAUUCCUCCACAUUUGAUCAGAACCCUCACAAGUCCCUGCACAUCAUAUCGCGCAGAAAAGUUCACCACAUACCAUUUCUCUAUUUUAACAGGUUGCACAAUUUUCUGGGAACAGUAUUCGAAUCAUUAGGAAAAAUAUGUUAUAGAUGACAAACGCCAAAAAAAUAAAAAUGUAACUUAGAUUU
rnacentral:lncRNA from 1 species